rnacentral:rRNA from 1 species
GUACCCUUCGGGGAGCCUAUACAGGUGUUGCAUGGCUGUCGUCAGCUCGUGUCGUGAGAUGUUCGGUUAAGUCCGCUAACGAGCGCAACCCUCGUCGUAUGUUAUAUGUGUCAUACGAGACUGCCGGUAAAAGCCGGAGGAAGGUGAGGAUGAUGUCAAGUCAGCAUGACCUUUAUAUCCAGGGCUACACACACGCUACAAUGGUCUGUACAAUGGGUAGCCAAGCCGCGAGGCGGAGCCAAUCCUGAAAGCAGGCCUCAGUUCAGAUUGCAGUCUGCAACUCGACUGCAUGAAGCCGGAGUUGCUAGUAACCGCAGGUCAGCAAUACUGCGGUGAAUACGUUCCCGGGUCUU